GAUGAAGAACGUAGCGAAAUGCGAUAAGUAGUGUGAAUUGCAGAAUUCAGUGAAUCAUCGAAUCUUUGAACGCACAUUGCGCCACUUGGUAUUCCAUGGGGCAUGCCUGUUCGAGCGUCAUUUGUACCUUCAAGCUCUGCUUGGUGUUGGGUGUUUGUCUCGCCUCUGCGUGUAGACUCGCCUCAAAACAAUUGGCAGCCGGCGUAUUGAUUUCGGAGCGCAGUACAUCUCGCGCUUUGCACUCAUAACGACGACGUCCAAAAGUACAUUUUUACACUCUUGACCUCGGAUCAGGUAGGGAUACCCGCUGAACUUAAGCAUAUCAAUAAGCGGAGGA
rnacentral:misc_RNA from 1 species